UCUGGUCAGACGAACGCUGGCGGCGUGCUUAACACAUGCAAGUCGAACGCGAAAGGGACUUCGGUCCUGAGUAAAGUGGCGCACGGGUGAGUAACGCGUAGAUAACCUGUCUUCAUGUCUGGAAUAAUACGCCGAAAGGGGUACUAAUACCGGAUAUUCUUGCUUUUCAUAAGUUAUGCAAGCAAAGGUGGCCUCUGCAUAUGCUACUGCAUGAAGAGGGGUCUGCGUACCAUUAGCUAGUAGGUGGGGUAAUGGCCUACCUAGGCGACGAUGGUUAGCGGGUCUGAGAGGAUGAUCCGCCACACUGGCACUGGAACACGGGCCAGACUCCUACGGGAGGCAGCAGUGAGGAAUAUUGCGCAAUGGGGGAAACCCUGACGCAGCGACGCCGCGUGAGUGAGGAAGGCCUUCGGGUCGUAAAGCUCUGUCAAGAGGAAAGAAGUGUACAAUGGCUAAUACCUGUUGUAUUUGACGGUACCUCUAAAGGAAGCACCGGCUAACUCCGUGCCAGCCGCGGC
rnacentral:rRNA from 1 species